UAGGAGAUGUAUCCCCCUGUAAGAUGGAGGA
rnacentral:piRNA from 1 species